rnacentral:rRNA from 1 species
ACUCAAAUGAAUUGACGGGGGCCCGCACAAGCGGUGGAUCAUGUGGUUUAAUUCGAAGCAACGCGCAAAACCUUACCUGGGUUUGACAUCCCCGGACAAACGUAGAAAUACGUCUUCUGUAGCAAUACAGCCGGGAGACAGGUGCUGCAUGGCUGUCGUCAGCUCGUGUGGUGACAUGUUGGGUUAAGUCCCGCAACGAGCGCAACCCUUGUCUUUAGUUGCCAGCAUUCAGUUGGGCACUCUAGAGAGACUGCCGUGGUUAACACGGAGGAAGGUGGGGAUGACGUCAAGUCCUCAUGGCCUUUAUAUCCAGGGCGACACACGUGAUACAAUGGAUGACACAAAGGGAAGCGAACCUGCGAAGGGGAGCGAAUCUCAAAAAGUCAUUCUCAGUUCGGAUUGGAGUCUGCAACCCGACUCCAUGAAGCUGGAAUCGCUAGUAAUCGCGGAUCAGAACGCCGCGGUGAAUACGUUCCCGGGCCUUGCACACACCGCCCGU